AUAUUUGACAACGACCUCUUACACUCUUGUAAGAGAGUUGUAAUUUGGGUGUAUCUGGAGAUGAGAGGCGAAUGUGAAAUAUCAAUACUUUUAAUAUUAUUUUACUUAUUCCGUAAAUCCAAAGUGAGGCACUACCCCUACUUUUUAGAAAUAAGGCUCGCUCUGCGGUCUGAUCCGGGCAAAAGACAUUUUUAGGUAGAGUUUUUGGAUGAGGAAACAUAUCUGUUAAAAGAUAAUGUAAGUGUCUUAAGAUGAGCUCAAUGAGAACACAAAUCUCAUGUAGAUCAGAAGGGUAAAAGCUCAUUUUAUUGUGAUUUCCAGCAUGAAUACAAACCGUGAAAGCGUUUCCUAACGAUCCUUAAGACCUUCGAAAUUCGAAGCUGGAGGUGUUAGAAAAGUUACCACACGGAUAACUGGCUUAUGGUAGCGCAGCAUUCACAGUGACGUUGCUUUUUUAUUCUUCGAUGUUGUCUCUUCCUAUCAUUGUGAAGCAGAAUUCACCAUGUGUUUGAUUGUUCACCCACCAAUAGGGAACGUGAGUUGUGUUUAGACUGUCAUGAGACAGGUUAGUCUUACCCUACUAAUGACAGUGUCGCAAUAGUAAUUCAACCUAGACAGUCGUCAUGCUUGAUAGAAAAGUAAGUGGCGCGAAGAAACUGUGUGAUGGAUUAUGACUGAACGCACCAUUGUCAAAAUCCGGGCUAGAAGAGAUGCAUGCGCCCGCCGUCCGCUAACCGAGCAACAGUAGGGGCCUCGGCCCUCAAGGGCACAUGUCGUUGGCUAAGACAUUGCAGUGAAAGUGUUGCAGUGGCCUUCUUAAAGUACGAUUUCCAUCGAGCGGCUGGUAAAAUCCUCUGCAGAUAACUUAGGUAUGCGACGGGGUAUUAUAAGUGGCAGAGUGGCCUUGCAGCUAUGAUCCACUGAGGUUUAGCUCUUUGUUGCUCCAGUUC
rnacentral:ncRNA from 1 species